AUUUAUUAAAUUUUUCAAUUUAAUGUUUAAUAUUUAUUAGUAUUUAUUUCUUAAUAUUUGUCAUAAUUAUUUAGUAUUUUUUAUUUAAUGUUUUUAAUUUAAAUUUAUUGUAUUAUACUAAAUUUAUUAUUUAUUAUUAUUUUUCCCUUUCCAUAUUCUGUUCAUUAUAAGCAAGCUACUAAGUCCAGUACAUGCUCAAGGGAAGGGGAAUCAAACUCCACUUCUUGGAGGGAGGAGUACCAAAGAAUUUGUGGACAUAUAUAUAUAUAUUUUUAAAAUUUUUUUUACUGUGGUAUAAAUAGUUUAUAACAUUGUGAAAUUUCAGUUGUACGUUAAUAUUUGUCAGACACCAUAUAAAUGUGCCCCUGCACCCUUUGUGCACACUCCCUCUUCCCCCUGGUAACCAAUAAAUUGUUCUCUUUGUUGUAAGUUGGUUUAUAUUCCACAUAUGAGUGAAAUUAUACAGUGUUUAUCUUUCUCUGUCUGGCUUAUUUCGCUUAAAAUGAUGCCCUCAAGGUCCAUCCAUGUGGCUGCGAAUGGGACGAUUAUGUCCUUUUUUAUGGCUGAGUAGUAUUCCAUUGUAUAUAUACAGCACAUCUUCUUUAUCUAAUCAUCAAUCGAUGGGCACUUGGGUUGCUUUCACAUCUUGGCUAUUGUGAAUAAUCCUGCAAUGAACAUAGAGGUGCGUAAGUCUCAUUGUAUUGUUGAUAUCAAGUUCUUUGGAUAAAUACCCAGUAGUGGGAUAGCUGGGUCAUAUGGUAAUUCUAUUUUUAAUUUUUUGAGAAAUCUCCAUACUGUUUUGCAAAGUGGCGGCACCAGUUUGCAUUCCCACCAGCAGUGGAUGAGGGUUCCCUUGUCUUCACAAUCUCUCCAACAUUUGUUAUUUUUUGUCUUGGUGAUUAUAGCCAUUCUAAUGGGUGAAAGAUGAUAUCUAAGCAUGGUUUUGAUUUGCAUCUCCCUGAUGAUUAGUGAUGCUGAGCAUCUUUUCGUGUGUCUAUUGGCCAUCUGUAGAUCUUCUUUGGAAAUAUCUGUUCAUAUCCUCUGCCCACUUUUUGAUUGGGUUAUUUAUUUUUCUGUAGUUCAGUGGUGUGAGUUCUUUAUAUAUUAUGGAGAUUAACUCCUUAUUGGAUAUAUAAUUUGCAAAUAUUUUCUCCCACUUGGUGGGUUAUUUUUUCAUUUUGUUCUUGGUUUGUUUGCCUUCCAGAAGCUCUUUAGUCUCAUGAAGUCCCACUUGUUUUUUCUUUUGUUUCCCUUAUCUGAGUGGACAUCAUAUUAGUAAAGAUCCUUUUAAGGCUCAUGUCAAAGAUUGUACUGCUUAUAUUUUCUUCCAGAAGUUUUAUGGUUUCAGGUCUUACCUUCAAGUCUUUGAUCCAUUUUGAGCCUGUUUUUGUGUAUGGAGAAAGAUAAUGAUCUAUUUUCAUUCUUUUGCAUGUGGCUGUCCAGUUUUCCCAGCACCAUUUAUUGAAGAGGCUUUCCUUUCUCCCUUGUAUGUUCUUGGCUCCUCUGUCAAGGAAUAGCUGUCCGUAGAUGUGUGGUUUUAUUUCUGGGCUUUCAACUCUGUUCCAUUGAUCUGUGUGCAUGUUUUUGUACUAGUACCUGCUGUUUUGAUUACUAUAGCUUUGUAAUAUGUUUUGAAGUCAGGGAUUGCGAUGCCACCAGCUUUGUUCUUGUUUCUCAGGAUUGCUUUGGCUAUUUGGGGUUUUAUGUUUCCCCUUAUGAAUGUUAAGAUUCUUUGUUCUAUUUCUGUGAAGAAUGUCAUUGGGAUUCUGAUUGGGACUGCCUUGAAUCUGUAGAUUGCUUUAGGUAGUAUGGCCAUUUUAACUAUGUUUAUUCUUCUAGUCCAUCUGCAUGGAAUAUCUUUCCAUUUCUUUAUGUCAUUAUCGAUUUCUUUCAGUAAUGUCUUAUAGUUUUCCUUGUAUAGGUCUUUCACCUCCUUGGUUGAAUUUAUUCCUAGAUAUUUUAUUCUUUUUGCUGCGAUUGUGAAUGGGAUUGUAUUCUUGAGUUCUUGUUCUGUUAGUUCGUUACUAGAGUAUAGCAAUGCCACUGAUUUUUGCCACUUUGCUGUAGUUGUUGAUUAUUUCUAAUAGUUUUCAGAUCGAUUCUUUAGGGUUUUUUAUAUAUAAAAUUGUGUCAUCUGCAGACAGUGAGAAUUUCACUUCAUUGGUGCCUAUUUGGAUUCUUUUAUUUCUUUUUCCUGCCUAAUUGCUCUGGCAAAAACCUCUCGUACUAUGUUGAAUAAGAGUGAUGAAAGUGGGCACUCUUAUCUUGUUCCUGCUCUCAGUGGGAUGGCUUUCAGUUUUUCCCCAUUUAGUAUGAUGCUGGCAGUGGGUUUGUCAUAUAUGGGCUUUAUUAUGUUGAGGUAUUUUCCUUCUAUACCCAUUUUAUUUAGAAAUUUUUAUCAUGAACAGAUGCUGGAUCUUGUCAAAUGCUUUCUCUGUGACUAUGGAGAUGAUCAUGUGGUUUUUGUUCCUCCUUUUCUUAAUAUGUUGUAUCACAUUGACUGAUUUGUCGAUGUUGGACCAUCCCUGUGUCCCUGGUAUGAAUCCCACUUGAUCAUGCCUUAUGAUCUUUUUAGUGUAUUGCUCUAUUUGGUUUGCCAAUAUUUUGUUGAGCAUUUUUGCAUCUGUCUUCACCAACAAUAUUGCCCUGUAAUUUUCCUUCUUUGUGUCAUCCUUGUCUGGUUUUGGGAUCAGAGUGAGGUUGACCUCAUAGAUUAUGUUAGGAAUAUUUCCAUCUUCCUCAAUUUUUUGGAAUAGUUUGAAAAGAAUGGGUGAUAAAUUGUCUUUGAAUGUUUGGGAGAAUUCUCCUGAGAAGCUGUCUGGUCCUUCACUUUUAUUUUUGAGGAGAUCUUUGAUUACUGUUUCAAUCUCUUUAUUUGUGAUUGAUCUAUUCAGAUUCUCUAUUUUUUCUUGAUUUGGUUUGGGAGGUUGUAAGAGUCUAAGAAUUUAUCCAUUUCUUCUAGAUUGUCUGGUUUGUUGGCAUAUCGUUCUUCAUAAUACUCUCUUAUGAUCUUUUGUAUUUCUGUGGUUUCCAUUGUAAUUUAUCCUCUUUCAUUUCUAAUUUUAUUCGUUUGAGCUUUCGCUCUUUUUUUCUUAGUGAGCCUGGCUAAGGGUUUGUCAGUUUUGUUUAUCCUGUCAGAGAACCAGCUCCUUGUUUCAUUGACCCUUUUUGUAGUCUUUUUUGUUUCAAUUUCAUUUACUUCUGCUCUAAUUUGUAUUAUUUCCCUCCUUCUGCUGAGUUUGGGCUUUGUUUGCUGGUCUUUUUCUAAUUCUGUUAGGUGUAUUUUAAGAUUGUUUAUUUGAGCUUUUUCUUGUUUAAUGUGGGCCUGUAUUGCUAUAAUUUUCCCUCUUAGGACUGCUUUUGCUGUAUCCCAUAAGAGUUGGUCUGGUGUGUUUUCAUUCUCAUUUGUCUCCAAGUGUUUUUUGAUUUCUCCCUUUAUUUCUUUGAUGACCCAUUGGUUGUUCAGUAGCAUGUUGUUUAGUCUCCACAUUUUCAUUUCUUUUCCAGAUUUUUUCUUGUAGUUGAUUCCUGGUUUCAUGGCAUUAUGUUUGGAAAAGAUUGUAUAUAUUAUAUCAAUAUUCUUAAAUUUAUUGAAGUUUGCCUUGUUUCCCAAUAUAUUGUCUAUCCUUGUAAAUGUCCCAUGUGCACUUGAGAAGAAGGUAUAUUUUACUGUUUUUGGCUGGAGUGCUCUCCAUAUAUCUAUUAAGUUCAGCUGCUGUAGUUUUUCAUUUAAGUCCAAUGUUUCCUUGUUGACUUUCUGUCUGGAUGAUCUAUCCAUUGGUGUAAGUGGGGUGUUGGUGUCCCCUACUAUUACUGUGUUGUCGUUAUCUCCUUUUAGGUUUGUCAAUAGUUGCUUUAUUACUUUGGUGCUCCUAUGUUGGGCACGUACAUGUUUAUAAGUGUUAUGUCUUCUUGGUGAAGAGUCCCUUUUCUCAUUGUAUACUGCACCCUAUGUCUCUCUUUACCAAUUUUAUCCUGAAGUCUACUUUGUCUGAUAUAAGUAUUGCAACAGCUGUUUCCUCUUUUUGCCAUUGUAGUAUUCUCUUCCAUCCCCUCACUCUGAGCCUAUGUUUCCUAGAGGCAGCGUAUUGUUAGGUGUUGUUCUUUAAUCCAUCCUGCCACUCUGUGCCUUUUGAUUGGAAGAUUCAGUCCAUUUACAUUUAGAGUGAUUAUUGCUAUAUGAGGGCUUAAUACUGCCCCCUUAGCCCUCAUUUCCCAGUUCUUUUGCAUUUCCUUUGUUUCUCAUCCCGUGUAUUUCAGACUACCAAUUUGAUUAGGUAGUUUUCUCUGUUGGUUUUCUUCGUUUUCUUCUUGUUUAUUGUAAAUGUUUCUGUUCUAAUUAUUUUUUUAGUGGUCACCCUUAGGUUCGUAUAAAAAAUCUCAUAGUUGAGGUAGUCCAUUUUCUGAUAGCCUCUUAUUUCCUCAGACUAUACUGAUUCCAUCCCUUUCCUCUUCCCUUUCUAAGUUAUUUUUGUCAUAUCUUUUUCCAUCUUGUGUUGUGAGUUUGUGGUUAAAAUGAUGAGAUCAUUUUUGUUUUGGUGUUUUCCUUUUCUUUAUCCUGGAUAUUAAAGUUAAGUGUUUACUAACCUGAUCUGAUAGAGUGCUGCCAUUUUCUGAUUAUUUCCUACCUAUUCAUCUCCUUACUCAGGGCCUUGUAGCCCCUUUCCUAUUUUUUUUUUUUCAGAUAGGAGGACUUUUUUGAGGAUUUCGUGUAGGGGGGGGUGUCUUGUCACAAUGAGCUCCGUUAGCAUUUGUUUAUCUGGGAGAGUUUUUAUUUUUCCGUCAUAUCUGAAGGAGAUUUUUGCUGGAUAGAGUAUUCUUGGCUGAAAGUUUUUGUCUUUCAGAAUUUUGAAUAUAUCAUUCCACUCUCUCCUGGCCUGUAAGGCUCCUGCUGAGAAACCCACUGAAAGCCUGAUAGGGGUUCCUUUGUAAGUUAUUUUCUUCUGCCUCGCUGCCCUUAGUAUAUUUUCUUUGUCCCUGACUUUUGCCAGCUUCACUGCUAUGUGCCUUGGAGUGGGUCUUUUUACAUUGACAUUGUUAGGAGAUCUGGAGGCCCCUUUCACAUGGAUUUCCAGCUCCCUCCCGGGUUUGGGAAGUUCUCAGCUAUUAUUUCUUUGAACAAGCUCUCUGCUCUAUUCUCCUUCUCUUCCCUUCUUGCAUACAUAUAAUUCUUAUGUUGCAUUUCCUGAUUGUGUCUGAUAUUUCUCUGAGAGCUUCUUCAUUUCUUUUUAGUCUUAGUUCUCUCUUCUCCUCUGUCUGAAGCAUUUCUAUAGUACUAUCAUCUAACUGGCUGAUUCUCUCUUCCAUAUUGUCAGCUCUCUUGUUUAGGGAAUCCAGAUUUUUCUUUAUUUCACCCAUUGUGGUUUUCAUCUUCAGCAAUUCUGAUUGGUGGUUCUUUAUGGUUUAAAUCUCCUUUGUGAAGAAGCUCCUGAAUUCACUAAUUUGUCUUUCUGUAUUUUCUUGUAACUCGUUGAGGUUUUUUUUAUGAUAGCUGUUUUGAAUUCUUUGUUGUUUAAAUUAUGGAUUUCUGUGUCUUCAGGGUUGGUUUCUGGAUACUUGUCACUUCCCUUCUCAUCUGGAGCUUUAAUAUACCUACUCAUAUUGCUUGAUGGAUGGAUUUUUACUUCUUCGUGUUGCUCUUAUCUGGUCACAGCUGCCACAUACUGCCUACUGGGUGGGGAUCAGGCACUAUGUAUUCUGGGCCUGGCAUGAGCAGGGGCUCCACACCUCCAGCUGCUGACUGCUUUUCUUCCCGAGCAACUGUUCGAUGGCAGAUCUGGAGCACUGGGCAGGGGUAGGGGUACUCUCAUUCCCUAGCAUUUCCCCCACCUCUGCUCAUCUCUCUGUAUGGAGUUCUGGAUGAUUGAAGGACUGUGCACUUUCCCUUUCCCCAACUGCCGCUGCCUCCCUCUCUGCUCUGUGCUCUGGGCCAUAGUGGGGCUGGAGUGCUGGUUGGGGAUGGGGCACCUCUCCUCACUUGCAUACUUUCCCUGCCUCCGCUGCCAUGCUCUCUGCACUGUGCGCUGGUCGAUUAUGGGCCUGGAGUACCAGAAGGGGAUGUGAGACCUCUCCUUACCUGCACACUUUCCCUGCCGCUGCUACCAAGCUCUCUGCACCAUGCUCUGGGCAGUCCUAGGGCUCAAGUUCCAGGCAGGGACGGGGCACCUCCCUUACCUCUGCAAUUUCACCACUGCCGCUGCCACACUCUCUGUGCUGUGAUGUAGAUGAUUCUUGGGAUGGAGUGCUGGGUGGGGAUGUGGCACCUCUUCUCACCUGUUCACUUUCCUUGCUGCCACUACCAUGCUCACCACACUGUGCUCUGGAAGAUUCUGGGGCUGGAGUACCAGGUGUGGACUGGGCGCCCUUUUCAUCCGUGCCCUUCCCGCCGCUGCAGCCCUUCUCAUUCCACAGAGCUCCUGCAGAUCAGCUUCCCCUUCUUCUGGCAGAUCCAGCCCCACCACCACCUUCAGGCAUAUGACUGCAUCGGUUUUUCAGAUGUCUUUUGUGUUGUGUACAUGUCCUCUGUUGGUUUAUCAAUGUCCUUUUGGUUGUAUCUUAGAGGGGAGAGUCCAAGGGAAAAGCUCACUCUGCUGUGAUGCUAAUGUCACCACUCCUUUGUGGACAUAUAUUAAAACCACCACAAUAGUUGGUAAAUAUCUUGGGGGAGAUGCUUUGAAGCUUUGCCAGUAUCCUGUUUCACCCCACUAAUUUUAGCAUUCAUCAGUGGAUCUUGCAUGCAGUAAUGAUUGCUAUAUUGUUCUAAAAGUAGUUUUUAUUUCUCUCAUUUUUUAUGCAUUUAUUAAUUGGAAGUCUUUUGUAAGGAAGUUUUGUCCCUUCUCAUCUAUCUAUCUAUUUAAUCAUUUAUAUCAGUUCCAAUUCAUGGAUAUUUAUUUUAUCCUUAGGAUUAUAAUUCAGUGCUAUCAUUAUUUAUUUUGUUGACCAAAUUAUUCCAGUUUUUGCCAUUGGGAGCUGUUUUAGGGUUGACUUCUGUGUUCUUUGAUGUGCUCUUAUCCUUUGUGUGUGUACAUUUACACUUCUUUAUUCUCUAGCACUACCAGAUGCUUCAGGUUCAUCUUGUAUUUUUCCUGCCCUAGCCCUUGACUCAUUUCUCCAAGAAACCCUGGUUCCUUUUUUUGGAGAAGGGUAUUUUGAGGCCAAGAUCUGGAUGUUAGGUGUGCUUGUUACUACUGGGGAGUCACUGCUUCUAGACACUCUCAGUGGACAGAGAGCUAUGAAAUUUAUGUUUGCUGAUAGAUUGGAUGUGGAAUGUGAAAACAGAAGAGUUAAGGAUGAAUCUAAGUAAACGUUCCUAUCUUCAGAAAAUAAGUUAAGGAAUGAGAGGCAAGGAAGAAAGGACAUUCAUCUUGGAAGAACCCAAAGCACUUUCAAAUUUUAAAGGAAUGUAAUGAUAGCUGCUAAAACCACCUUUGUCACCAUAAUGGAUGAAGUUCUUCAAAUUUAACCGGUAACCAGAAUUCUUGGCUCAUGUUACAUUUCCACCAAGAGCUUUAGAUGACUUCAAAAGGUUUCUUUCUUUUCUUUUUUUUGAUUUAUUUUUUUUGUUUUAUUGAGGUCAUAUUGACUUAUAAUAUUGUGUGAUUUCAGGUGUACAUUAUUGUGUAUCAUGUUCUGUGUAGACUGCAUCGUGCUCACCACCAGUAGUCUAGUUUUUAUCCAUCAUCAUACAUAUGUGCCCCUUUACCCCUUUUGCCCACCCCGCUACUGCCUUCCCUCUGGUAACCAAUAAUCUGUUCUCCUUAUUCAUGUGGUUUUUUAUCUUCCAUGUAUGAGUGAAAUCAUAUGGUGUUUGUCUUUCUCUGUCUGGCAUAUUUUGCUUAACAUAAUACCCUCAAGGUCAAUCCAUGGGGCUGGCCCAGUGGCAUGGUGGUUAAGUUUGUGCACUCCACUUUGGCAGCCCAGAGUUCACAGGUUCAGAUCCCUGGUGCAGACCUAGCACCGCUUAUCAGGCCACACUGUGGCAGCAUCCCACAUAAAAUAGAGGAAGAUCUACACAGAUGUUAGCUCAGCAACAAUCCUCCUCAAGCAAAAAGAGGAAGAUUGGCAACAGAUGAGAGGUCAGGGCCAGUCUUCCUCACCAAAAAGAAAAAAAAAAAGGAAAAAGGUCCAUCCAUGUUGUUGCAAAUGGCACGAUUUUGUCUUUUUUUAUGGCUGAGUAGUAUUCCAUUGUGUGUGUAUAUAUAUAUAUAUAUAUAUAUAUAUAUAUAUAUACACACACACACACACACAUACAUACCACAUCUUCUUUAUCUGUUCAUCAGUUGAUGGACACUUGGGUUACUUCCAAGUCUUGGCUGUUGUGACUAAUGCUGCAAUGAACAUAGGGGUGCAUAAGCCUCUUUCAAUUGUUGAUUUCAAGUUCUUUAGGUAAAUACACAGUAGUGGGAUAGCUGGGUCAUAUGGUAUUUCUACUUUUAAUUUUUUGAGAAAUCUCCGUAAUAUUUUCCAUAGUGGCUACACCAGUUUGCAUUCCCACCAGCAGUGUAUGAGGCUUCCCUUUUCUCCACAUCCUCUCCAACACUUAGUAUUUUUCGUCUUGUUAAUUAUAGCCAUUCUCAUGGGUAUGAGGUUUUGAUUUGCAUUUCCCUAGUAAUUAGUUAUGUUGAACAUCUUUUCAUGUGCCUGUUGGCUAUCUAUAUAUCUUCUUUGGAAAUAUAUCUGUUUACAUUGUCUGCCCAUUUUUCGCUCCGGUUGUUUGUCUUCUUGUUGUUGAGUUGUUUGAGUCCUUUAUAUAUUUUGGAAGUUAACCCCUUGUCAGAUAUAUGAUUUAAAAAUGUUUCCUCCCAGUUGGUGGGUUGUCUUUUCAUUUUGCUCAUGGUUUCCUUUGCCUUGCAGAAGCUUUUUAAUCUGAUACAGUUCCGUUAGUUAAUUUUUUCGUUUGUUUCCCUUGCCUUAAUAAACAUGAAAUGAAUAAAAGAUGCUGCUAAGACCAGUGUCAAACAGUGUACUGCCUAUAUUUUCUUCUAGGAGUUUGAUGGUUUCAGGUCUUACCUUCAAGUCUUUAAUAAGUUUUGAGUUAGUUUUUGUGUAUGGUACAAGAUAAUGGUCUACUUUCCUUGUUUUGCAUGUGGCUGUCCAGUUUUCCCAAAACCAUUUAUUGAAGAGACUUUCCUUUCUCCAUUGUUAUGUUCUUGGCUCUUUUGUCAAAGCUUAGCUGUCUGUAGAUGUGUGGUUUUAUUUCUGGGCUUUCAGUUUUGUUCCAUCUCUGUGUCUGUUUUUGUACCAGUACUGUGCUGUUUUGAUUACUGUAGCUUUGUAGUAUAUGUUGAAGUUAGGGAUUGUGAUGCCUCCAGUUCUUCUUUUUUUCUCAGAAUUGCUUUGGCUAUGCAGGGUCUUUUGUUGUUCCAUAUAAAUUUUAGGAUUCUUUGUUCUAUCUCCAUGAAGAAUGUCCUUGGGAUUCUGAUUGAGAUUGCAUUGAAUCUGUUUAUUGCUUUAGGUAGUAUGGACUUUUCAACUAUGUUUAUUCUUCUAAUCCAUGAGCAUGCAAUGUCUUUCCAUUGCUUUAUGUUGUCAUCAGUUUCUUUCAACAAUGUCUUAUAGUUUCCAGUGUAUAGGUCUUUCACUUCCUUGGUUAAAUUUAUUGCUUGAUGUUUUAUUCUUUUUAUGGUGAUUGUAAAUG
rnacentral:lncRNA from 1 species